UACGGGGGGGGCAAGCGUUGUUCGGAAUUACUGGGCGGAAAGGGCUCGUAGGUGGCCAACUAAGUCGGACGUGAAAUCCCUCAGCUUAACUGGGGAACUGCGUCCGAUACUGGAUGGCUUGAGUUUGGGAGAGGGAUGCGGAAUUCCAGGUGUAGCGGUGAAAUGCGUAGAUAUCUGGAGGAACACCGGUGGCGAAGGCGGCAUCCUGGACCAACACUGACACUGAGGAGCGAAAGCCAGGGGAGCAAACGGG
rnacentral:rRNA from 1 species